AAAAUACAAAGUAUCUUUAUCUUCAUCUUAUCUAAAAAUUAUCUAAGAUGACGUUUUUGUUGCAAAAACGUAUUUGAACAUAUAAACGGUGUUAACGUGUUGAUAUUUUUAAAAAAUCGUGGUAAAUGGCAAAUAAUAAUAUAAGAUAGCUCCAGGCACACCCAAUACUCUUUUCGUUUUCGUGUGCUACAAUACUAAGAGAUAGCAUUGCGAUUGCCUCUCGAGGCGCUCGAGUCACUUUAACCGCGAUAGCGAUUAAGCCUUCAGCCCACGUGAUCUACUGUACUACGCCUUAUUGGCGUAACCUCAAUUUCAGUGCUAUGAUUGGUCGAGUAAUACGGCACCUAGCGGUGCAGACACCGAGUAACAAGAAGACAGGAAGCCCGGCCAUUAUUAGUACACACGUACAGCCUUACAAUAACGAAAAGGAAAAAAGCAUAAAAGCUAAAGACAUGCAGAAAACAAAAACCCCUGUAACCUCAAAUGUUAUAAAAGAGGUGGAAAUCAAUGAUUAUGAUGUUAUUGACAACACGAGUGAAAAUCCUACGCUUUCGACUUCAUUCACGUUACCAUUUAUAUUACAAGGCGAAUUUUUCAAAAUUACAUCGAAAAGUACGGGACAGAAAAUAAUAGCGCAAUGUACAAAUUGUCCCAAAAUUAUAAGUGGUACGAGAACUUCUACAGAAAACUUUGUUAGUCAUUAUAAUAGUUUUGCCACAUAGAUGUGGCAGGAGAAGGGGUAGCGCAUAUCAGCGAAACGCUAGAGCGACGUUGCGAGUCGGUUUUAGCCGGUGAGCGCCCUCAGGACAUUAACGACGUGGAUAUGAACUAUAACCAGUAUCCGAAGGGAGAACGGCUAACCACCAAACGAUGGGACUGGACUACCAAAGACCACCAAACAACCACUAAACAAUACCUAAUUUUUCCUGCUAGUUAGAAGAAAAAUGGCGGACUCGUACAGAAAGAACG
rnacentral:misc_RNA from 1 species